rnacentral:rRNA from 1 species
AGAGUUUGAUCAUGGCUCAGGAUGAACGCUGGCGGCGUGCCUAACACAUGCAAGUCGAACGGAACGAAGGGAGCUUGCUCCCUGAAGUUUAGUGGCGGACGGGUGAGUAACGCGUGAGCAAUCUGCCUUUCAGAGGGGGACAACACCGGGAAACUGGUGCUAAUACCGCAUAACGUAUGAGGGUCGCAUGGUCCACAUACCAAAGGAGCAAUCCGCUGAAAGAUGAGCUCGCGUCUGAUUAG